rnacentral:lncRNA from 10 species
UUUCAUUUCAUUUCACUUCAUUUCUUUUCUUUCUUCCAAUAUAUCUUCUGCCAAACUCUGAGACAGGCUUUGGUGAUACAUCAAUGAUCAGAGAAAAAAUCCUGCUCUCAAGUUGCUCACUGUCUAGAUGGGGAGGCAGACAGAUAAACAGAGUGCUACAAAAUGAUGUGGCACAAAGAAGAGGUCACAGGAGCACACAGCAAGAAGGCAGCCAUCUGCAACCCUGUGGAGGAGACCUCCCCAGACAUUAACCAUGCUGGCACCUUGAUCUUGGACUUCUAGUCUCUGGGACUGUGAGAAAAUACAUUUCGGUUGUCUCAGCCACUCAGUCUGAAGAAUUUUGUUAUGUCAGCUCGAGCAGAUUGAUGCGGCUAUUGAGAUACAGCGGUUUCUAUUCUGUUUAUGUUUCCUUGUUUUGUUUCUGUUGUUGUUGUUGUUGUUUUGUCCUGGGCAUGUAGACCAAAGCCAAUAGGCAAGGUCACUUCAUUACUAGGAACCAAGUCUAAUCAUUGCACUAGAAAAUACUUAACUUUAUGCAUCCAGCUUUUUAGAAAAUUGUAUUUCAACUCAUUACAGGAUUUUCAUAGUGUAUCACAAGAUUUAUGUUGAGAGGAAAAGAGCCCUAAAGUUUCAAGAUAAUUGAAUUCUGGAAAAUGAGAAAAGUAGUCAAUUUUUAUAAAUUAGUAGGUAGCAUCUAUUUUUUCUUUUUUUGGUACUAAAAUUAUUGCAUUUUUAUUUUUACCUUAUUUUGUACCAAGAUGGGUCUAAAUGUCAUGGUGACUCAUUUCAAAACUUGCAUUUUCAUUUGUGAUUAAUCCCACCUACACUGAAAAGUUUUUGCUUGAUUUUUCUACUGAGGUGUGGGUUCCAAGCCUCGGUAUCCUAUGGAUGUACAAUUGUCCAAUGUAAGUUGUCAACUGUUAUAUUUGGGAGUGAAAGUAGAAACUACAGGGAUCAAAAAUGAGUUGGCAAGUUUUCUUUUCCUGAAGGAUGAAUCACUGGAGAAGUGCCAGUGAAUAGAAAAAAAAAAUUUCACCAAAAGAAAUAAUAACCAACAAGCCAUGUUCUACUGUCUUAAAACAAAGAAAAGCCAUUUAUCUCAGGGCACAUAUUGAUGCUGAAAAUGAUUCAACUUCACCACAUCAUAAGCGGAACCGUCAGAAGCAUAUUCCUGGAAACCAAAGCCUCUUGGGAGAAAGUUCAAGAAGCUGAAAAGAGCCAUGCAGUUCAAUUAUCCUGAUUCUUCAGUUUCCAUCUGUAUGAAACAGGCCACGCAGCAGAGACAUAGACACAUCAGAAUUCCCAUCUGCACUGCAAUAAACACUACUUAGGAGAAUCAGUCUCAGCUGGACCAAACCUCUCAGUCCCACUCGAUGUCAUCUGUGCCAAGCCAAGACUCACCGGGACAUCAGUCCAGCCUCCUCCAAGACCCACUAUGGCAGCAGUUCUUCAUCUGUGGCUCUACAGGCAAGGAUCACAUGUUGUGACUCUGCCAGGUAGAGGUUGUGCUUCUGUGGAUCUGUCAGGUGGCCUUGCCCCCAAGGCUUUGCUGGGUGUUGGUCCUACUCUUUGAAACUGAGGUGGAGACACCCCUGCACCCCCCACCCCCAGGCACUCUGGAUGUGCAGUGGAAGUGGCAGUCCUAAGAUAUCGGCAUUAUGUGCAGGGUCCUUCUUCCCUUAUCUUGAAGAAAGUUGUAUGUUUGUAGGUGAAUAGCCCUUAUGAUCCAUUCCCGUCGGGUCUUCCAACAGUCUUUCUCCAUUUUGUC